UUGGCAGGGACAUUUCUUCCUCCUCAACAGCUGACAAGACAACCAGGAGGCUGGCUAAACCCUGCUUCCCACCACAAGACUGCUGCAGCUGAGAGAUCCUAGGACACAUGACAAAGGCCAGCAGAAGCAAUGCCUCUUAUUCAAUACCUGAUUGCUUGUACAGUCAGCUUAACUUCUACUUGGAAAUACUGCUUUGGAAGAGAAAAUUAAGAAAAAAGCAUCAUUAAAAAAAAGACAAGGUUGGGCUUCCCUGGUGGCGCAGUGGUUGAGAGUCCGCCUGCCGAUGCAGGGGAUACGGGUUCGUGCCCCGGUCCGGGAAGAUCCCACAUGCUGCGGAGCGGCUGGACCCGUGAGCCAUGACCGCUGAGCCGGCGUGUCCGGAGCCUGUGCUCUGCAACGGGAGAGGCCACAACAGUGAGAGGCCUGCAUACCAAAAAAAAAAAAAAAAAAAAAAGACAAGGCUACUCGCAGAUCUAACAUGCUAAGCUUUAACUUAGUACGUUCUUAGGACUGAUGUUUUCCAAGGAACAAACUUUCUUGUUUCCUGUGCAAUAAUAAAGGUUUGUUAUAAAAGUUAAGUACAAAAAGUGAGAAAAAAUAAAAAUAGUGGUAUCUUCACAGUUGAGUUCUUAACAUAUUUUCUGAUAUAUGUAAAAAGAGAAAAAUUGGCAAAAUGAGUACCAACAUUUUAAAAAAUAAGAAUUAAGCCUAAA